UAACCUACCUAUAAGACUGGGAUAACUUCGGGAAACCGGAGCUAAUACCGGAUAACAUAUUGAACCGCAUGGUUCAAUAGUGAAAGGCGGCUUUGCUGUCACUUAUAGAUGGAUCCGCGCCGUAUUAGCUAGUUGGUAAGGUAACGGCUUACCAAGGCAACGAUACGUAGCCGACCUGAGAGGGUGAUCGGCCACACUGGAACUGAGACACGGUCCAGACUCCUACGGGAGGCAGCAGUAGGGAAUCUUCCGCAAUGGGCGAAAGCCUGACGGAGCAACGCCGCGUGAGUGAUGAAGGUCUUCGGAUCGUAAAACUCUGUUAUCAGGGAAGAACAAAUGUGUAAGUAACUGUGCACAUCUUGACGGUACCUGAUCAGAAAGCCACGGCUAACUACGUGCCAGCAGCCGCGGUAAUACGUAGGUGGCAAGCGUUAUCCGGAAUUAUUGGGCGUAAAGCGCGCGUAGGCGGUUUUUUAAGUCUGAUGUGAAAGCCCACGGCUCAACCGUGGAGGGUCAUUGGAAACUGGAAAACUUGAGUGCAGAAGAGGAAAGUGGAAUUCCAUGUGUAGCGGUGAAAUGCGCAGAGAUAUGGAGGAACACCAGUGGCGAAGGCGACUUUCUGGUCUGUAACUGACGCUGAUGUGCGAAAGCGUGGGGAUCAAACAGGAUUAGAUACCCUGGUAGUCCACGCCGUAAACGAUGAGUGCUAAGUGUUAGGGGUUUCCGCCCC
rnacentral:rRNA from 1 species